rnacentral:rRNA from 1 species
UUGGAGGGCAAGUCUGGUGCCAGCAGCCGCGGUAAUUCCAGCUCCAAUAGCGUAUAUUAAAGUUGUUGCAGUUAAAAAGCUCGUAGUUGAAUUUCGGGAUUAGUACGUUGGUCGUGCCUUCGGUACGUACUGGUGUUACUGAUUCCUACCUUCUGACGAACCAUCAUGUCAUUAAUUUGGUGUGGUGGGGAAUCAGGACUGUUACUUUGAAAAAAUUAGAGUGUUUAAAGCAGGCUCGCGCUUGAAUACAUUAGCAUGGAAUAAUGAAAUAGGACGUUGACCCUAUUUUGUUGGUUUCUAGGAUUGACGUAAUGAUUAAUAGGGAUAGUUGGGGGCAUUAGUAUUCAAUUGUCAGAGGUGAAAUUCUUGGAUUUAUUGAAGACUAACUACUGCGAAAGCAUUUGCCAAGGAUGUUUUCAUUAAUCAAGAACGAAAGUUAGGGGAUCGAAGACGAUCAGAUACCGUCGUAGUCUUAACCAUAAACUAUGCCGACUAGGGAUCGGACGAUGUUAUUUUUUGACUCGUUCGGCACCUUACGGGAAAC